CUCUCUGGCCUGUUGCUAUGGCCGCCGGACCACGUUGCUAAGGAGCCUGGAGAUGUUGAGCGCCAAGAGCUCGCCCUUCGUGGUCGGGCUUUGACCGAGAGUUGCCUUGUCGGCCUUAUUUGAAACUGGCCGCCUUUCUCCCACUCUCCCCGACCUUCUUAAAAAAACAAAAAAACCCACAGCUUUCUCUCCAUUUUUUCCUCUCCAUGUCCUUCUCAUUUUCUAACUUUGACAACAUCCCGGCUCUGAACUGGUCUUAGGUAUCUGGAAAUGUGUGGUGUUGGAGGCGGAGAGGCUAGGAAAAUGGAAAGAUAUUAAGACCCUUAAUACUGGCUCUUUGGAUUUAUAGUACUUUAUGGUGAAAAGGAUUGGGAUAGGUGAAUAUUGGGCUGUGUCGCUGUUCUUUGGAAUUUGAAGGAGUUUUAGAGAUGGAGCUCAUCUUCUUUUGUGGGGCUCCUAUUACACUUUUGGAACUUCCCAAACACCAGAUUAGAGAGUAGGGGAAAAAAAAGUGGCCUCUGCCUCUGAGAAUUUGCCAGAUAGUUUAGUGCAGUGGUCUCAAAGCCAAGUGCGAGAAGAAAAUGCAUGUGGGAAAAGAAAUAGGUUAUAUGAACUGUCCAAAACAAUGAAAAAAGAGUACGCUUUCCUGGCAUUGACCCAGAUGCCUAUAAUCCCUUGUAGAUGACCUGCAGCAUCUAAGGAAACCUGAGGAGCAAAAGAGAAGCAAUGCAGAAAUCCGAGUGCCAUAGAGGCGUACAGUUAAGAAGCAGAGUGACAGAUAACUGUGAUCAAAGGACAUCAUCAAGUGCACAAAUAAAACAUAGGACUACAGUUCAACAAAGGAAAUCCUCCUCGUCAACCAGUUCUCCAGAAUCUGCAAGACAUCCUCGACCAAGUGAUAAACUUAACCCUAAAACAAUUAACCCUUUUGGUGAACAGUCACGAGCCCCUUCUGCAUUUGCAGCUAUUUACUCUAAGGGAGGUGUUCCUUGCAGAUUGGUCCAUGGUUCAGUAAAACACAGGUUACAGUGGGAGUGUCCUCCUGAAAAGCUUCCAUUUGAUCCUCUUCUUAUUACUUUAGCUGAGGGUCUGAGGGAGACUAAACAUCCAUACACCUUUGUGUCAAAGGAGGGUUUUAGAGAAUUACUUUUGGUCACAGGUGCUCUUGAAAAAGCUGUGCCUUUGCUUCCUAGACUGAUUCCUGUGCUGAAGGCAGCUCUGGUCCACUUGGAUGAUGAAGUGUUUGAAAGAGGAUUGAAUGCUCUGGUACAGUUAAGUGUCGUUGUUGGCCCUUCUCUAAAUGACCAUCUGAAACAUCUGCUUACAAGUCUUUCCAGGAGACUAAGGGACAAGAAAUUCAAAGAACCAAUCACCACUGCAUUACAGAAGCUGGAGCAGCAUGGUGGAAGUGGAAGCCUUAUCAUCAUCAAAUCUAAAAUUCCAACCUAUUGCUCCAUAUACUGCUGAAGAAACUAGCCCUGGUGACAGGUGUUAAACGCUGACCACGGAAGCUGAUUCUGGAUCAUUCUACAGGGAAAGGAGUAGAGGGAGAGAAACAUCUGGGCAGGAAGAGCGCCGUUAGGGACCCGGCUGGCCACACCAAAUCCAAGGCUAACAGACUUCUGAAGGGCUGGAGAUUAGGGGCAGCAAUAUUCUGUCCCAGAAGCCUCGGAGAACACCCUUUCUUUGCUCCAUCCUCAGGUACCAAGAGUGAUCUCUUUGUAAUUCUCAUUUCAGAUCCAAUCUCACGGAUGUAACUUAAAAUACGAGGAGUUUCUGAAGAGUGUUAACAGCAGAAAUGCUCCUCCUCCCUCAGAGCUCCUAUCAUUCCUGGUCCCCUGGCUGGCACACUCUGUCCUCAAAGCAAGUUGAUGUCAUUGGCCCAAGAUACCUUCUAUUUGAAGAGCCCAAUGCUCAAAACUCAACUCGGGGGAAAGCUAGUGAGAGAAAGAGGACAUAUGGACAUUGAACCACAUCCAGGCUUCAGAUGAGAAGAGAUUUCUGGCACCUCCUUGGAGAUUGGAGUGUUAAAAGAGGAGACUGAAAAAUUCAAGGACCGGGUCAGAAAAAAUAGAAGAUGAGGCUGGAGCAUCUUGUAGUGUCCAAAAGUAAGGAAUGAGCAAAGAAAGAAACAAAACAAAACAAAAAAAUAAACAACCACAAUGAUGGGGCCAUGUUGAAGCCAACUGCAAGAGCUUCCAGUGGCCCAGCUGGAACAAUUUAAGCAAAAAGAUAAA